rnacentral:misc_RNA from 1 species
GAAAUGCGAUAAUUAAUGUGAAUUGCAGAAUUCAGUGAAUCAUCGAGUCUUUGAACGCACAUUGCGCCCCCUGGUAUGCCGGGGGGCAUGCCUGUCCGAGCGUCAUUGCUGCCCUCAAGCACGGCUUGUGUGUUGGGCUUCCGUCCCUGGCAACGGGGACGGGCCCAAAAGGCAGUGGCGGCACCAUGUCUGGUCCUCGAGCGUAUGGGGCUUUGUCACCCGCUCCCGUAGGUCCAGCUGGCAGCUAGCCUCGCAACCAAUCUUUUUAACCAGGUUGACCUCGGAUCAGGUAGGGAUACCCGCUGAACUUAAGC